AGAUUGAACGCUGGCGGCGUGCUUAACACAUGCAAGUCGAGCGGUAACGCGGGAGCAAUCCUGGCGACGAGCGGCGAACGGGUGAGUAAUGCUUGGGAAUCUGCCCAUUAGUGGGGAACAACCAGCCGAAAGGUUGGCUAAUACCGCAUACGCCCUACGGGGGAAAGCGGGGGAUCGAAAGACCUCGCGCUAAUGGAUGAGCCCAAGUCGGAUUAGCUUGUUGGUAGGGUAACGGCCUACCAAGGCGACAAUCCGUAGCUGGUCUGAGAGGACGACCAGCCACACUGGGACUGAGACACGGCCCAGACUCCUACGGGAGGCAGCAGUGGGGAAUAUUGGACAAUGGGGGCAACCCUGAUCCAGCGACGCCGCGUGUGUGAAGAAGGCCUGCGGGUUGUAAAGCACUUUUAGUGGGGAUGAAAAGCUCAGGGUUAACACCUCUGGGUCUUGACCUAACCCACAGAAAAGCACCGGCUAACUCUGUGCCAGCAGCCGCGGUAA
rnacentral:rRNA from 1 species